CGUUUGCUGCCUUAUAAGCCACGCCCCCUUUCCAGAAUGUUCUCUAGAGCUCUACCCUCGUGCUUCUCACGCGGGCUUCUCAUUCUGCGGGAAGAUUCUCCCGGGGCAGGAGGUCUCUGACCAAUCUGCCACCUAUUGCUUUGUUCUUUUCUGUGGCGUUGGCAAUGGAACUCAGUGCCUCAGUGGGCUAGGUCUCUGAGGGAAAGAGAAGAAAGCUGUCUUAGGCGCCACAGACGUUAGGAACCAGAAGAGCUGAACCGAUACCAAAACGGCAAGUAGAUAAGGAAGUGUCCCUCCCGCC
rnacentral:lncRNA from 1 species